rnacentral:rRNA from 1 species
CGCGGCCUAUCAGCUUGUUGGUGAGGUAACGGCUCACCAAGGCAUCGACGGGUAGCUGGUCUGAGAGGACGAUCAGCCACACUGGGACUGAGACACGGCCCAGACUCCUACGGGAGGCAGCAGUAGGGAAUCUUGCGCAAUGGGCGAAAGCCUGACGCAGCAACGCCGCGUGGGGGAUGAAUGCCUUCGGGUUGUAAACCCCUUUCAGCAGGGACGAAAUUGACGGUACCUGCAGAAGAAGGUCCGGCCAACUACGUGCCAGCAGCCGCGGUAAUACGUAGGGACCAAGCGUUGUCCGGAAUUAUUGGGCGUAAAGAGCUCGUAGGCGGUUCAGUAAGUCGGGUGUGAAAACUCAAGGCUCAACCUUGAGACGCCACUCGAUACUGCUGUGACUUGAGUCCGGUAGAGGAGUGUGGAAUUCCUGGUGUAGCGGUGAAAUGCGCAGAUAUCAGGAGGAACACCAGCGGCGAAGGCGGCACUCUGGGCCGGUACUGACGCUGAGGAGCGAAAGCAUGGGGAGCAAACAGGAUUAGAUACCCUGGUAGUCCAUGCCGUAAACGUUGGGCACUAGGUAUGGGACCAUAUCAACGGGUUCCGUGCCGUAGCUAACGCAUUAAGUGCCCCGCCUGGGGAGUACGG